rnacentral:rRNA from 1 species
GAUGAACGCUGGCGGCGUGCCUAAUACAUGCAAGUCGAGCGAACGGACGAGAAGCUUGCUCCUCUGAUGUUAGCGGCGGACGGGUGAGUAACACGUGGAUAACCUACCUAUAAGACUGGGAUAACUUCGGGAAACCGGAGCUAAUACCGGAUAAUAUUUUGAACCGCAUGGUUCAAAAGUGAAAGACGGUCUUGCUGUCACUUAUAGAUGGAUCCGCGCUGCAUUAGCUAGUUGGUAAGGUAACGGCUUACCAAGGCAACGAUGCAUAGCCGACCUGAGAGGGUGAUCGGCCACACUGGAACUGAGACACGGUCCAGACUCCUACGGGAGGCAGCAGUAGGGAAUAUUCCGCAAUGGGCGAAAGCCUGACGGAGCAACGCCGCGUGAGUGAUGAAGGUCUUCGGAUCGUAAAACUCUGUUAUUAGGGAAGAACAUAUGUGUAAGUAACUGUGCACAUCUUGACGGUACCUAAUCAGAAAGCCACGGCUAACUACGUG